AGUGAACGCUGGCGGUAGGCCUAACACAUGCAAGUCGAACGGCAGCACAGUAAGCUCUUGCUCUUACGGUUGGCGAGUGGCGGACGGGUGAGGAAUACAUCGGAAUCUACUUUUUCGGGGGUGAUAACGGAGGGCAACUUCCGCUAAUACCUCAUACGACCUACGGGUGAAAUCAGUGGUGCUUCGGACCUUGCCCGUUUGAAUGAGCCGAUGUCGCAUUAGCUAGGUGGCGGGGUAAGGGCCCACCAAGGCAACGAUCCGUAGCUGACCUGAGAGGAUGAUCGGCCACACUGGAACUGAGACACGGUCCAGACUCCUACGGGAGGCAGCAGUGGGGAAUCUUCAGCAAUGGGCGAAAGCCUGACGGAGCAACGCCGCGUGAGUGAGGAAGGUCUUCGGAUCGUAAAACUCUUUUAUUAGGAAAGAAAAAAUGUGUAAGUAACCAUGCAUGUCUUGACGGUACCUAAUAAGAAAGCCCCGGCUAACUACGUG
rnacentral:rRNA from 1 species